GCGUCUGAUCCGAGGCGGCCGCCUUCUCCCCGCGCGUGGUGCCUCCUGGGGUGACCGCUGCUCCGUCUCCGCCGCAGGCGCCCCCGGGCCACUCUCCCGUACCGCCUGGACCAGGAGUUGUGUUUCUGGGGCUGCCGGGGCCCGGCCUUGCCGCCUGUCGCCACCCGCAGCAGCCUGGGCGAUUACUGGCUGAGCCCGCAGCGCCGGCGCCCACCGGGCGCCACCUGGCGCUGGCCCGCUCGCAAUAUGCUGCUACUGCCAGGGGCCACCGGGCUGGCGGAUAUACCCUCGGCGCGCUGGCCCAGCUGCUACGGCGUUCGCCCGCGCCUCACGUGGAAGCACCGGUGGCAGAAUAUUAACUACCAGUAUCUGGGCAAGAGGAAGAGACAUCUAGUUCCUCUGCGCCCGUGAGAGCCGCCAACAGAUAUUUAUGGAGCCCCCCCUCAUUUGGAAAGUGAACUUGAGGCAGAAGAGAAUGGCUGGAGGGGCUGGACUUGUGUAGAGAGUCAAGCAAGAAGGCUGAUGAAGUAGCCCAGGUCCAGAUGAGGAGACUGAGGCUCAGAAGAGAGGGCCUAGAGCCACACAGCUGGGAAGUGACAAAGCCAACUCUUCACCCCUACAGUUGCCUCAACACAACAAUCCCUCACUGAAUCCUUGCCACAACCGGAAGUGGUACCCGAUGUCCUGGUUUUACAGCAGGUGUUGUGAUGCUCAGCAAGAGGAAGGGACUUGUCCAGGUCACAAAGCCCGAAGGUUGCAGCCGUUUGGAUCCAAAUCAUUUGGGGGGAACAGGUGAUGGGGCAAGAACAGUGUGGAGAGGAAGGGGUGGGACUGGCAACUGGACAAAAAGAGUGUUUCAGUUUCCCUUUUAAAGGGGCUUCCCCCAAAAUGGGGGAUUUUGGCUGGAAAGUUGUUAGUAAUCCACAUUCCACUGGUUUGGCCAUCUCCGCCUCAAAGGCUCCCAGGAACUGAAAAGAAACUGAAAGUUGGGAAGAGGGGAGGGGAGGAGGGAAGGGAGAGGCUGGGGACAGAGUAACUGGGUUGAGUUUCUGGUGACCUCACUGAGCCUGGGGGAGGCAGGCAGGCGAGCUGGGAUUACACACCUCUUAGCUAUUGGAAAAAUUGAGCCCCAGAGAGACACCCCUAUUUGUGGCUGGGUCCUUUGUGCAGCCACCCCCAACACACACAGACACAGACACACACACACACACACACACACACACACACAGACACAGACACACACACACACACACACACACACACACACACACACACACACACGGCGUGGGGUGGGGGCAGGGGGAACCAGGGGAAGAGGGAGGAAAAUGGAGAAACGAAAGCUCUGGGCAGGAGUGUCCUCUGUGGUGCAAUGGAAUUGGUGGCAUCUCUGCAGUGUCAGAUUUAGGUUCAAACCCCAGCCCAGCACAGUGGGGUUAAAAGAUCCAACAGUGCCGCAGCUACGGUAUGGCUUGGAUCUGAUCCCUGACCAGGGAAC
rnacentral:lncRNA from 1 species